rnacentral:lncRNA from 1 species
UUGAUGAAGGUGGCUUGUAAGAAAUGCCAAACUUGGAGGCGCCAACUUUUGGUCACCAACAACACUCUUUUUUAUUUAAUUAGAAAAUGUAAUUAUUUAAGGUUUUCUUUUAAGACAAAUGUGUAUAUUUGGAUUUAUCUGUAACUUAUUGAAUUACAAGUCUAAUAGCAAUUGUAACUUGUUGGAUUUGGGAAAGAAUUGAAUUAUUAAAGUGUAUUUUCUAUUAUUUGGANNN